rnacentral:rRNA from 1 species
CCUGAACGCUGGCGGCGUGGCUAAGACAUGCAAGUCGAACGGAAUCCGCAAGGAUUCAGUGGCGGACGGGUGAGUAAUGAAUCGCUAACGUACCCUUAGGCCUGGGAUAGCUAGCCGAAAGGUUAGGUAAUACCAGAUGAAAUGUCCUGAUCGCAUGAUCGGGAUCUCAAAGCCGCAAGGCACCUUUGGAGCGGGCGAUUUCGUAUCAGCUUGUUGGUGAGGUAACGGCUCACCAAGGCGAUGACGCGUAGCCGGACUGAGAGGUUGGCCGGCCACAUUGGGACUGAGACACUG